UGCCAGCAGCCGCGGUAAUACGAAGGGUGCGAACGUUAAUCGGAAUUACUGGGCGUAAAGCGCGCGUAGGUGGUUUGAUAAGUGGGAUGUGAAAGCCCCGGGCUCAACCUGGGAACUGCAUUCCAAACUGUCAAGCUAGAGUAUGGUAGAGGGAGGUAGAAUUUCCUGUGUAGCGGUGAAAUGCGUAGAUAUAGGAAGGAAUACCGGUGGCGAAGGCGGCCUCCUGGACCAACACUGACGCUCAGGCACGAAAGCAUGGGGAGCAAACAGGAUUAGAUA
rnacentral:rRNA from 1 species